GAGACAAGGCAAGAAAGUUAUUGCUUGGCAGAAACAACCCUUUGUUAUUAAAGAAAGGGGCAGAGAGGGGGAAGACGCUGUUGGGAAUUUUCGUCACAAGCUCCAGGCACUGUUUGCCGAAACAGAACAUCAGAACCAGAUUGUGCCUUUGAACACCUGGCCGGCUGCCCGGCGGCUCGCCCUCACCUCCUUCCCUUCGUCCUCCACUCCGCGGGUCCCGGAGAGGAGAGGAUCAGGAGGCAGGGGCCCCGCCCCCUCCCGGCCCUUCCAGGCCUCUUCUGGAGCUGGAAAUUCCUCCCUUCAAGGCUGAGCUUGCAACGACCACCCUGUGCGCCGGGUCUCAGUGUCCCCUCCCUCCCGCUCCGUGUUACGGUGGAAGGGCAGCCUUGAGAUGGCGGGCGGAAGGGCAGCCUUGAGAUGGCGGGCGUGAGCGUGUCCUUGGAGCCGGAGCCGUCGGCCUGGGGAGCAUUUUCCCUGGGUUCAGUGGAGUGGGCAGCCUGGCCGAAGCCCUCAGUGUCUCCUGAGGGAGGCUGGCUGAGGAAAAAGGGUGAUUCCAUGGGGCUGGGUGGAGGAGCACGUUUCCAUACAGGCCUCCCAACCGAGGGGAGAGGGCUUUGGGACCCGCCCGCUCCUGGCACACGUUCAUUCAGCCGACAUUCACUGAGGCCUGCCCGUUUAGUUCCCCUGUCCCAGCUCUCAGCCUGCUGUGGGGGCCGGGACCCCAGCCUUUUCCUAGGUGCCCAGCAGUGUGUGCUGAUGAAGGAACAGAAGGAUGCAUGGAAGCUUCCGAGAGAGCAUCAUCAAGAUGGCCUGGGCCUGCUAUACGGCAGAGACUGUUCCUGGGGUCACCCCACAGUUUUCUUUUCUCUUCAUUCCCGCUGGAGGCAUAUGAAGAAAGAAAACUAGGUCCUUGGCGUCCCACCCGCUUUACCAACGGCCCAGCAACGGCCCAGAGCCCGUUCUGAGCAAAGCGCCGCAGUGGCUUCUCCUCCUCCCGGGAUGCUGGCUCAGCCGUUGGGCACUCUCGGGGUGAGUGAGGGUGCAAGAGCAUCUCCUCCUGGGCCAGAGGCCACCCUCCCUCCCUGCAUCCGAGCCCAUGAGUCUAGCAUCCCCAAACCUAGGUCUGGGGGAGGGCCCUCGGGGCGGCGGAGCCGGCUCUCCCAGGCUGGUGGGGGCCAAGGUGCCAUGUCUUCCCAGAGCCGUUGCCUUCAUGCUGCCUGCCUGGCAUCAGCUCUGCUGGGGGAACUGCCACCACGGGAGCUGGCAGGCACUACCGGACCCGCUUGCCAAGCCUGGCCCAGCGCACACUGAGACAGCACACCGCUCCUUCCCGGGGGGCCGUGUAGGGAGCAGAGGCUCCAACGGACGACCCCUGCAUCCUGGGUCCUUGGUCGGUGGGGGUCCGGGGAGCGUGGGGAGAGAGCAGGCUGGCUGGGAGGAGAGGAGUUGGAAGAGAUGUCUAACAACGAAAAUCUAUUCAGGGCUCUUGGAUGCAAUUCAUUCAUUCGUUCGCU
rnacentral:lncRNA from 1 species